AAUAAUCUCUUGUGAUUUUAUAUGUUUCUACUGUAUUUUAAACUUUUGUUUCUUAUUGUUUUGUUCAUGGAUAUUAAGUCGAUGAAUUUGUGAAUGAAUCUUGGAGAUGUUUGUGUGCCUUUAGCCUGGUGACGUUUAGUAUUUCUCAAAUGGUUUGUUGAAAUUUUAGAUAAUUAAAAGUAUUUCUUGAAUAUUCAGCUAAAGAUGAAUUUAAACUCUUAAGUGAUAAAUGAUAUUUUCUAUUUUUAUAGAGGUAAUAGCUUUUAUCUAACCAUUCUGAGUAGUCCAUUUUAACUAUAUAUAUAGAUUUGUCGUCAGAACCAGACUUAGAAGUGGCAUCAGAGCAAGAGCAAGAGCAAGAAAGGCCUGAUGAAAGUGAAAAUAACCACCCCCAGAACAUCAGAAGUACAUCAGAAAGAAGAAUUACAGCAAGAUAAGCAAAAUCUGCAAAGGUUUAAGAAUGAGAAAGGCAUGUUACAAGUAGAACUCCUGGCUUCGGAAAAAGAGAAAGUUGAACUUCAAAAACAGGUAGAGAGAUUCACUUUGCUGCUGCUCUUUUGUUUUUUGUCUUUGUCAAUUAUCUGAGCCAUUUUGAUUUUCCACUUAUGAAGAAAGCUCGUGUAUAAAAUGGGGUUGUCUCAAUAUAUAAUUGUGUUCGGAAAUAGAUUAUUUCUGCAAUCUAAAUGAUAGGAAUGCAGGAAAACAUAUGAUUUGUGUUCCUUAAGUUUCUUUCAGUUUCCCAAGUGGCGUGUGAACUGGGAAGCUCUUUUCGCUAUGCGCCCUGUGACCUCAUGAAACAGAAUAACCGUAGAGAAAAUUGCUUUAAAAAUGCGAUUAUCUUGGGGUGCCAGCGGGGCACGGCCAGUUGAGAGUCCUAGUCUUGUUUCUGGCUUGGGUUGUGUUGUCAGGGUUGUGAAGAGGAGCCCCAAGUCGGGCUCUGCUCAGCAUGGAGUCUGCUUGAGUUUCUGUCUCCCGCUGUGCCUCUCUCAUGCUAUCAGUCUUGUUCUCUAAAAUACAUAGAUCUUU
rnacentral:lncRNA from 1 species